GCCUAGCUGAGCUAAAGCUUACGGAGGCAAGACUCAAUGUUUGGUUCUAUCUAGCCUGCUAGUUCAGAACGUGAAUAAAAUAGUAAGAUUUGACUGGUCAAACUUUAACUAUCACAUGAUGCGGUUGUUCUUUUUCAGCUUUCGCUCGCUUGCCGCCGUGAGCGAGCCAAAUCGGCUCUCCUCCGAGAGCAAGGAUUUGGUGGCAGUUGCUGACUAAAUUGCCAUCAAAAGCAAGAAUAUCUUAUCAGUACCAAACGCUUAGCCUUGCCUGGCAUGGCUAGUUUUUGCUUUGCUGUAGAUCCAAAGGCACCCGCAGUUGCUGCCUCAAGCUUGCUGCCUCCCCAUGCCAAGCCAGAGAGGUUAAGAUGAAGAAGUUCGAUUAUGAGAGACCUCCUGCUCCUGUAUCCGUGUUCUGUAACUAAAUGGGUGAUCACAGAGAAAAGUGAUCAUGCAAGAAGCGACUGUACUAUUAUUGCUGCAGUCUACCAACGCUGUUCAGGGUACCAAUGAACUGUGUUAUCAUCUUUUUGCUUGCUGGUUUUUUCAAUUAGACAAAACAGUUAUUUUUAUCUCGAAAAUGGCAGUGAUUAAACAUGUGUGUUCUUACCU
rnacentral:lncRNA from 1 species